rnacentral:rRNA from 1 species
AGAGUUUGAUUCUGGCUCAGGAUGAACGCUAGCGGCAGGCUUAACACAUGCAAGUCGAGGGGCAGCGGGAUGUAGCAAUACAUUGCCGGCGACCGGCGGAUGGGUGCGUAACGCGUAUGCAACCUACCUAUACAGGGGAAUAACCUUUCGAAAGGGAGACUAACACCCCAUGGUAUUGAUUUAAGGCAUCUUAGAUUAAUUAAAUAUUUAUAGGUAUAAGAUGGGCAUGCGUAUGAUUAGCUAGUUGGUAAGGUAACGGCUUACCAGGGCGACGAUCAUUAGGGGUUCUGAGAGGAAGGUCCCCCCACACUGGUACUGAGACACGGACCAGACUCCUACGGGAGGCAGCAGUGAGGAAUAUUGGUCAAUGGGCGCAAGCCUGAACCAGCCAUGCCGCGUGCAGGAAAGACGGCCUUAUGGGUUGUAAACUGCUUUUACAUAAGACUAACCGUAUAUUUGCGAAUAUACCUGAAUGUAUUAUGAGAAUAAGGAUCGGCUAACUCCGUGCCAGCAGCCGC